rnacentral:tRNA from 1 species
GGGGGUAUAGCUCAAUGGUAGAGCAUUCGACUGUAGAUCGAGAGGUCCCCGGUUCAAACUCAGGGUGCUCCCU